rfam:Escherichia coli str. K-12 substr. MG1655, complete genome.
GGUCGGAUAAGACGCAUAGCGUCGCAUCCGACAACCGAUGCCUGAUGCGCCGCUGACGCGACUUAUCAGGCC